rnacentral:rRNA from 1 species
ACUCCUACGGGAGGCAGCAGUGGGAAUAUUGCACAAUGGGGAAAGCCCAUCGAUGCAGCCAUGCCGCGCUGUGUGAAGAAGGCCAAUUCGGGCUUGGUUAAAGACACUUUCAGUAGGGAGGAAGGUAGUGUAGUUAACACCUGCAUUAUUUGACGUUACCUACAGAAGAAGCACCGGCUAACUCCGUGCCAGCAGCCGCGGUAAUACGGAGGGUGCGAGCGUUAAUCGGAAUUACUGGGCGUAAAGCGCAUGCAGGCGGCCUGUUAAGUCAGAUGUGAAAGCCCGGGGCUUAACCUCGGAAUUGCAUUUGAAACUGGCAGGCUAGAGUCUUGUAGA